rnacentral:lncRNA from 1 species
UUUUGAACCCUUAACAUAAUUAGAAAAACAUGUAAUUUAAAAGAUACCAUUUAUAAUGCAAAAUAAGUAAAACUGGCCAAACAAACAAACAAACAAAAAUCCCAGUAGUACCUAAGAUUACAUCUUAAAGACGAUCAAGAACUUUAUGUAGAAAAGUAUAUAAUUUUGUUGACAGUCACUGAAAAGAAGUAUGUUCAUAGUUAGGAUGAUUCAGUAUCUUAAAAAUGUCAUUUUCCUCAUUGUCUCAUCACUGUUAAGCUGUUCUUUCUCCAUCUGCUGUUUAUAGGGAGUUGAACUCAUGGAACGGAUGUCUAAAGAGAUAUAGCAGGGAGCAAUGGGAGAAGAAGCAUUUUCAUUGACUCUAAAUCAGACCCUUUGCAGUCAGGAUGCAGGUCUUAUUCUGAGGCCUUACGCUGCCAUUGGCCUCUUCCGGAGAAGCCAGACCCCCUUUGCUUCGCCCAAAGUCUCCUGGAGUUCCUCAGAACUGGAGUUGGGGGAGAAGACAGCAGCCCCAGUAGGUGCACCGACCUGCAAGCCUAGAUUCCCAAAGCCGGCUCCCAGGCGCGCCCGGAAAUCCAGUCCGAAUAGGCGCAGUUGCCAUGGCACCAAAGAUGCUCCCCAAGCAUCCUCAUUCCCCCGAGGAAAAACGGGCCCGGGGCAGACGCCUCCCUCCACAGUAGUCUGGCAGGAGCGCCCCUUCCAGGAUUCACCAGUACUCCUACCCAUCUCUUCUCCAAGAGGUUAA